GGGUUGUGAGGUUAAGCGACUAAGCGUACACGGUGGAUGCCCUGGCAGUCAGAGGCGAUGAAGGACGUGCUAAUCUGCGAUAAGCGCCGGUAAGGUGAUAUGAACCGUUAUAACCGGCGAUUUCCGAAUGGGGAAACCCAGUGUGACUCGUCACACUAUCAUUAACUGAAUCCAUAGGUUAAUGAGGCGAACCGGGGGAACUGAAACAUCUAAGUACCCCGAGGAAAAGAAAUCAACCGAGAUUCCCCCAGUAGCGGCGAGCGAACGGGGAGGAGCCCAGAGCCUGAAUCAGCAUGUGUGUUAGUGGAAGCGUCUGGAAAGGCGCGCGAUACAGGGUGACAGCCCCGUACACAAAAGCGCAUGUGCUGUGAGCUCGAUGAGUAGGGCGGGACACGUGGUAUCCUGUCUGAAUAUGGGGGGACCAUCCUCCAAGGCUAAAUACUCCUGACUGACCGAUAGUGAACCAGUACCGUGAGGGAAAGGCGAAAAGAACCCCGGCGAGGGGAGUGAAAAAGAACCUGAAACCGUGUACGUACAAGCAGUGGGAGCACAGGUUUACCUGUGUGACUGCGUACCUUUUGUAUAAUGGGUCAGCGACUUAUAUUCUGUAGCAAGGUUAACCGAAUAGGGGAGCCGGAGGGAAACCGAGUCUUAAUUGGGCGUUAAGUUGCAGGGUAUAGACCCGAAACCCGGUGAUCUAGCCAUGGGCAGGUUGAAGGUUGGGUAACACUAACUGGAGGACCGAACCGACUAAUGUUGAAAAAUUAGCGGAUGACCUGUGGCUGGGGGUGAAAGGCCAAUCAAACCGGGAGAUAGCUGGUUCUCCCCGAAAGCUAUUUAGGUAGCGCCUCGUGAAUUCAUCUCCGGGGGUAGAGCACUGUUUCGGCUAGGGGGCCAUCCCGGCUUACCAACCCGAUGCAAACUGCGAAUACCGGAGAAUGUUAUCACGGGAGACACACGGCGGGUGCUAACGUCCGUCGUGAAGAGGGAAACAACCCAGACCGCCAGCUAAGGUCCCAAAGUCAUGGUUAAGUGGGAAACGAUGUGGGAAGGCCCAGACAGCCAGGAUGUUGGCUUAGAAGCAGCCAUCAUUUAAAGAAAGCGUAAUAGCUCACUGGUCGAGUCGGCCUGCGCGGAAGAUGUAACGGGGCUAAACCAUGCACCGAAGCUGCGGCAGCGACACUGUGUGUUGUUGGGUAGGGGAGCGUUCUGUAAGCCUGCGAAGGUGGCCUGUGAGGGUUGCUGGAGGUAUCAGAAGUGCGAAUGCUGACAUAAGUAACGAUAAAGCGGGUGAAAAGCCCGCUCGCCGGAAGACCAAGGGUUCCUGUCCAACGUUAAUCGGGGCAGGGUGAGUCGACCCCUAAGGCGAGGCCGAAAGGCGUAGUCGAUGGGAAACGGGUUAAUAUUCCCGUACUUGGUGUUACUGCGAAGGGGGGACGGAGAAGGCUAUGUUGGCCGGGCGACGGUUGUCCCGGUUUAAGCGUGUAGGUGGUGGUUCCAAGUAAAUCCGGUUCACUUUAACACUGAGGCGUGACGACGAGGCACUACGGUGCUGAAGCAACAAAUGCCCUGCUUCCAGGAAAAGCCUCUAAGCAUCAGGUAACAUCAAAUCGUACCCCAAACCGACACAGGUGGUCAGGUAGAGAAUACCAAGGCGCUUGAGAGAACUCGGGUGAAGGAACUAGGCAAAAUGGUGCCGUAACUUCGGGAGAAGGCACGCUGACACGUAGGUGAAGUGAUUUACUCAUGGAGCUGAAGUCAGUCGAAGAUACCAGCUGGCUGCAACUGUUUAUUAAAAACACAGCACUGUGCAAACACGAAAGUGGACGUAUACGGUGUGACGCCUGCCCGGUGCCGGAAGGUUAAUUGAUGGGGUCAGCGCAAGCGAAGCUCCUGAUCGAAGCCCCGGUAAACGGCGGCCGUAACUAUAACGGUCCUAAGGUAGCGAAAUUCCUUGUCGGGUAAGUUCCGACCUGCACGAAUGGCGUAAUGAUGGCCAGGCUGUCUCCACCCGAGACUCAGUGAAAUUGAACUCGCUGUGAAGAUGCAGUGUACCCGCGGCAAGACGGAAAGACCCCGUGAACCUUUACUAUAGCUUGACACUGAACAUUGAGCCUUGAUGUGUAGGAUAGGUGGGAGGCUUUGAAGUGUGGACGCCAGUCUGCAUGGAGCCGACCUUGAAAUACCACCCUUUAAUGUUUGAUGUUCUAACGUGGACCCGUAAUCCGGGUUGCGGACAGUGUCUGGUGGGUAGUUUGACUGGGGCGGUCUCCUCCUAAAGAGUAACGGAGGAGCACGAAGGUUGGCUAAUCCUGGUCGGACAUCAGGAGGUUAGUGCAAUGGCAUAAGCCAGCUUGACUGCGAGCGUGACGGCGCGAGCAGGUGCGAAAGCAGGUCAUAGUGAUCCGGUGGUUCUGAAUGGAAGGGCCAUCGCUCAACGGAUAAAAGGUACUCCGGGGAUAACAGGCUGAUACCGCCCAAGAGUUCAUAUCGACGGCGGUGUUUGGCACCUCGAUGUCGGCUCAUCACAUCCUGGGGCUGAAGUAGGUCCCAAGGGUAUGGCUGUUCGCCAUUUAAAGUGGUACGCGAGCUGGGUUUAGAACGUCGUGAGACAGUUCGGUCCCUAUCUGCCGUGGGCGCUGGAGAACUGAGGGGGGCUGCUCCUAGUACGAGAGGACCGGAGUGGACGCAUCACUGGUGUUCGGGUUGUCAUGCCAAUGGCACUGCCCGGUAGCUAAAUGCGGAAGAGAUAAGUGCUGAAAGCAUCUAAGCACGAAACUUGCCCCGAGAUGAGUUCUCCCUGAGACUUAGAGUCUCCUGAAGGAACGUUGAAGACGACGACGUUGAUAGGCCGGGUGUGUAAGCGCAGCGAUGCGUUGAGCUAACCGGUACUAAUGAACCGUGAGGCUUAACCUUACAACGCCAAAG
rnacentral:rRNA from 1 species